rnacentral:lncRNA from 12 species
AUGCCACGGAGGAGAGUGGGAGCUUCGGGGAGGUUUGGGGAGAAGGGAGCGGGAGGCCCAUUCAUUAUCUUGGAACACGGCAGCCGGGGGCUUCGGGCGGCACCGUGGGAUGGCUUGCCAUGCCAAGCUCAGGUGGAACCGGGCUCAGGGCUGGCAGCCAGGUGGUCUGGAGGCCCGCCAGGAGCAGGGCUGUCCAGAUUGGCCUGGGCCUGGCUGGCUUGUGCCAGUCCACCUGGUGCCAGCUUGGGCGGCCGCCGAGGGCACCCCUGCCUGGCUGGGCCUGGCCUGGAGGACCCUGGCCCGAGAGAGCCCAGGCUCCGCUUACCCACCGUCCUAGGCUGGCACCGCUGUGUCCUGUCUUGUCCUUUAGGAACAGCGGCCUUUGGAGGGCACCGCUGGGGCUUGCGGGCAGCAGGGGCAGCGUUCGGGGCUGGUCCCCUACAGCAGAGGCCACCUGCCGCAUGGCUCAGUUAUCAGCCUCCUGUGCCCACAGGCCCUGAGGCUCCCAUGCCAGCAGGGCAGAGAGGGCGACUGAGUCAAAUCCAGGCUGACCCCAGCCCACUUGUGUUCCCCAAACGCCUGCCUGACCGGAGGCGGAACGAUGCCCUUCUCACGGGGUGUGUCCUCCAUCAGUGGGGAUCCUCUGUGCCCUUCCCCGGGGAUCACUCGAUGAGCCCAUUCUUCCGGGAGUACCCGGUGGGCUUCGCCUGGACUUGGUGGCCGCAGAGUGAGUAGGUGACACAGUCCCUGCUUUUAGGUAGCAAAGUUAGAGCGCCCGAGGAAAGGGAGACAAGAGCUGGGGAAGUCAGGGAGGGCUUCCUGGAGGAGGCCAGACCUUAACGUUCAGGAGGAUUCGGGAAGCAGGUGGGGCAGGCAGGACUAUAGAGACACACCUGGUGGGGGGGGGGUGGUGUGAGCGAAGAGCACGCAGCAGCACAGGGCAGGUUGUGAGCUUCUGAGAGGCACAGGAGGGCAUCUAGGUCAAGGCCCAGAGAGGCCCCAGUCCUGGAGCCCUGGUGUGGGAGGGGGGUGGGGAGUUGUCUCUCGGGGAGGCUCAGAGUUGAGGGUGUGUCCAGGUGUCACCAGCUCUGGGGUCUGCAGCCCCGGCUCCCUGGACAGGAGACGCACGUCCUCCAUGGAGCCGGUGGCCUCCGCUGGGCCCCACAGGGAGCCUUCCAGCCGCAGGCCUGCUCUGGCCUCCUCGUCACCGUCACCGUCACCGUCACCGAGGGAGGCUUUAAAAUCUCAGCCUCGAAUUAAAGCCUAUGAGUGCUUCAAAACAAUAAAAAAUUUCCCUAAUAAAAGAGGAGGCGCA